ACUCCUACGGGAGGCAGCAGUGGGGAAUAUUGCACAAUGGGCGCAAGCCUGAUGCAGCCAUGCCGCGUGUGUGAAGAAGGCCUCGGUUGUAAAGCACUUUCAGUUGUGAGGAAGGUGGUGUCGUUAAUAGCGGCAUCAUUUGACGUUAGCAACAGAAGAAGCACCGGCUAACUCCGUGCCAGCAGCCGCGGUAAUACGGAGGGGUGCGAGCGUUAAUCGGAAUUACUGGGCGUAAAGCGCAUGCAGGUGGUUUGUUAAGUCAGAUGUGAAAGCCCGGGGCUCAACCUCGGAACUGCAUUUGAAACUGGCAGACUAGAGUACUGUAGAGGGGGUAGAAUUUCAGGUGUAGCGGUGAAAUGCGUAGAGAUCUGAAGGAAUACCGGUGGCGAAGGCGGCCCCCUGGACAGAUACUGACACUCAGAUGCGAAAGCGUGGGGAGCAAACAGGAUUAGAUACCCUGGUAGCACAGAG
rnacentral:rRNA from 1 species